CAGGCACUGAAACAUGGUCCAGAUUCUCUAGAUGUGUGGAGUUGAGAAAUUAGAAAGAAGUCUUCUGGGAAGCAGAGGAGGGAUACUACAUCCCCCUGGACUCAAUGGCUGUCCUUCGGCAUUCAGUGAUACCAAGGGUGGAACAUGAAAUGAAAAAGAAUCACCUCAAUCUAGCAGAACGUAAAGCCCCAUGGAGCAGCUGCUGAAGGAAUUCAUAGAAGAGGAAGGGAUGGUAUUACAGAGGUUACAGCUUCUCCAGUUCCAAGUCUUUCAGAAAAGAACCUGAAGUAGAUAUGUUUACUCAGACAUACAAAUCCAGACCAUCCAUUCUGCCAAGUAAUAUUUUAAUAUCUCAUUCCUGUCCCUGAAUUUCUUCACUGUUGAUACAAAUAUGAAAAGGAAUCUAAAUGAGUUCUA